GACGAACGCUGGCGGCGUGCUUAAUACAUGCAAGUCGAACGGACAGGCCCUGCUUUUGUGGGGUGCUCGAGUGGCGAACGGGUGAGUAAAACGCGUGUAAACUGUCCUUGACAUUGGGAUAACAUAAGGAAAAUGGGGCGAAUAUCGGAUAGGAGCUCCUGCUGCAUGGUGGGGGAUGGAAAGUUUCGGCGGUUGGGGAUGGUCUCGAGGCUUAUCAGCUUGUUGGUGGGGUAGUGGCUUACCAAGGUUUCGAAGGAUAGGCGGCCUGAGAGGGUGGCCGGGCACAUUGGGACUGAGAGACGGCCCAGACUCCUACGGGAGGCAGCAGUGGGGAAUAUUGCACAAUGGGCGGGAGCCUGAUGCAGCAGCGCCGCGUGCGGGAAGACGGCCUUCGAGUGGAAAACCGCUUUCGCCUGUGACGAAGCGUGAGUGACGGUAAUGGGUAAGGAAGCACCGGCUAACUACGUG
rnacentral:rRNA from 1 species